rnacentral:rRNA from 1 species
GUAGGUGGCAAGCGUUGUCCGGAAUUAUUGGGCGUAAAGCGCGCGCAGGCGGGGUUCGUUUAAGUCUGAUGUGAAAGCCCACGGGCUCAACCGUGGAGGGUCAUUGGAAACUGGAGAACUUGAGUACAGAAGAGGAAAGCGGAAUUCCACGUGUAGCGGUGAAAUGCGUAGAGAUGUGGAGGAACACCAGUGGCGAAGGCGGCUUUCUGGUCUGUAACUGACGCUGAGGCGCGAAAGCGUGGGGAGCAAACAGGAUUAGAUACCCUGGUAGUCCACGCCGUAAACGAUGAGUGCUAAGUGUUACGGGGGUUUCCGCCCCUUAGUGCUGCAGCUAACGCAUUAAGCACUCCGCCUGGGGAGUACGGCCGCAAGGCUG